GAAAUGCGAUAAGUAAUGUGAAUUGCAGAAUUCAGUGAAUCAUCGAAUCUUUGAACGCACAUUGCGCCCGCCAGUACUCUGGCGGGCAUGCCUGUCCGAGCGUCAUUUCAACCAUCAAGCCCCCGGGCUUGUGUUGGGGACCUGCGGCUGCCCGCAGGCCCUGAAAACCAGUGGCGGGCUCGCUGUCACACCGAGCGUAGUAGCAAUCACCUCGCUCAGGGCGUGCUGCGGGUUCCGGCCGUUAAACAGCCUUACAAAACCCAAGGUUGACCUCGGAUCAGGUAGGAAGACCCGCUGAACUUAAGC
rnacentral:misc_RNA from 1 species